rnacentral:rRNA from 1 species
UAAAGAGGUCUCAAGCGUUGUUCGGAUUCAUUGGGCGUAAAGGGUGCGUAGGCGGCGCGGUAAGUCGGGUGUGAAAUCUCGGAGCUUAACUCCGAAACUGCAUUCGAUACUACCGUGCUUGAGGACUGGAGAGGAGACUGGAAUUUACGGUGUAGCGGUGAAAUGCGUAGAUAUCGUAAGGAAGACCAGUGGCGAAGGCGGGUCUCUGGACAGUUCCUGACGCUGAGGCACGAAGGUCAGGGGAGCAAACGGG